AAGUCCUUUCGACGGGGACGAUGAUGACGGUACCCGUAGAAGAAGCCCCGGCUAACUUCGUGCCAGCAGCCGCGGUAAUACGAAGGGGGCUAGCGUUGCUCGGAAUGACUGGGCGUAAAGGGCGCGUAGGCGGUUUGAUUAGUUAGGCGUGAAAUUCCUGGGCUCAACCUGGGGGCUGCGCUUAAUACAGUCAGACUAGAGUGUGAAAGAGGGUCGUGGAAUUCCCAGUGUAGAGGUGAAAUUCGUAGAUAUUGGGAAGAAC
rnacentral:rRNA from 1 species